CAGAUAACGCUGAGAUUUCGGGAGACAGAGCGGCGACGCUUCCCGUCCAGCUCCAGGCACGCAGCCCUGCUGGCUGCCCCAGCCAGGUCCACGUCGCGCGGCUGUACCUCGGGUCCUGGAAACACACCGUGGUCUGGCAAUCAGACGUUUGCUGAGUUUGGGGCACGAGCUCCUCACACACCAAUUUCUGAACCCCCCUCCUGUCGCAGCCAGCUGCCACGCCACAAGAAGCCACAAGAAGCUGCCCCAUCCUUUCCCUGCCCAGCUGGAACUGGCAUUUCAGGGUGAAUCUGGCUUUUACAACACGAGGGCUGGAGAUCACAAAAAAUGCCCAACCUGAAGAAAUUCCCCAGCAGAGGCCGGUUCAAUGAGCAGGACGGAGGCGAUGAACCCCAUAUUAAACACCGGAGAAGCCUCUCCGUGGCAGCAAGCCUCUUUCCCUGGGGUUCAGGGCCGCUCUCCCCCAAAACACGGGCUUGUUUUGCCAUCUGCUGGUGGGAGGCCGGCAGAGGAGGUGCUGCAGGGCAGAGGGCAGCCAGGAGAUGGAUGCUGGGGCUCAGACCCCUGCUGCAGCUCCAACCCCCUGCAGCUCCUACCCAGUCCCCCCCUUCCCAACGUGGAGGUCUCGGGCAUCAGACACGGGUGGUCUGGCCCAGGAGGACAUGGUUUGGAUUUUAGUGGGGUCAGGGGGUUGUAAAACCAUCCAACGGGGCUUGGCGAAGCGAGAGGAGCUCUCCAAAAUCCCAAAUUUCUCCACAAAGAGCUGGGCACGGAGCAGGGCUCGCCGUAGGUCUGGGAAGGUGUUGGUGUGGUGCUGGGGGGCUCAGCUCAUAAUGCUUCAUAUUUUCUGGGUGAAGCUUUUCCCAAAGGCAUUGAGCCCGAUUCCUCCUCCUAGGUUUGGGUUUGGGGGUGACCCACCACCUGUUUGAGGGAUGCCCGAGCUGCUCGGUCCAUGCCUGUGGCCCCACACCCCAUGGGCGAUGAGCAGAGACUCCGGUGCCUUCCCCAUCAGCUUCUGGAGGAGAUAAAAGCUUUUGGAGCAGAUAAAAGUGUCAGGAGAGGGAGCCAGAGCCUCGGCUGAGAGCAGGGAGAGAAGGGAUUGGGGACACAGCCCCUUCGGUGGCUUGGCAGAGCGGCUGCCCUCAUUACAGUCUUUAGAAAAAGGGGCCUGGAGCUGCCCAAGGGGUCUUCAGCCCAUUUUUUGGGGGGGUUGGAGGCCGUGCAGGGAGCCAGGAGAAGGCAAAGGGUCUUUGUGUUGUCCCCUGGGGCCUCCUCAGCCACAGCCUGCCCUGCUGUGGGUGCUUGCUUACAAAUAAUACACUAACCAUGUAUUUAGGGACGUUUUUUUGGGUAUAGAUUGGGCAGGAUGAGCCCCACCGACCCCAAAAUCCCCUGUACUGAGCUGGGGGGCCCAGCAGGGACAACGGGGAUCGUCCCACCUACGGCAGAUAAAACCCAGAGGUGCCACACGGUGCCCCACACCAUCACGGUGGGAUGCUUGAUGAGACCAUCAGCACUGAUUUAGGCGUGCUGCCUCCUCCCACGGGGCAGAAAAAGGGGCUGAACAACCCCUCAGGGUCCUUCCCAGCUCCAUUUUUCUGCAUUCCCAUGGGAUAACCCCACGGACCGACCUCCCCUUUCCCCCAGUAAUGCGAAAACGUGGAGAUGAGCGGAUAAGCAGGGAGGGGAGGGAUUAAGUUCAGGGCGCGGGUCAUGGGAGCCGGUUAUAAAUAAACAGAACUCGUUUAAAAGA